rnacentral:rRNA from 1 species
GACGAACGCUGGCGGCACGCCUAACACAUGCAAGUCGAACGGAGAAUUUAGGUUUACUUGAAUUCUUAGUGGCGGACGGGUGAGUAACACGUGAGCAACCUGCCUUUGAGAGAGGGAUAAUUUCUGGAAACGGAUUGUAAUACCUCAUAACAUAGCGAAAUCGCAUGAUUAUGCUAUCAAAGAUUUAUCACUCAAAGAUGGGCUCGCGUCUGAUUAGAUAGUUGGUGAGGUAACGGCUCACCAAGUCGACGAUCAGUAGCCGGACUGAGAGGUUGAACGGCCACAUUGGGACUGAGACACGGCCCAGACUCCUACGGGAGGCAGCAGUGGGGAAUAUUGCACAAUGGGGGAAACCCUGAUGCAGCGAUGCCGCGUGGAGGAAGAAGGUUUCGGAUUGUAAACUCCUGUCUUAAAGGACGAUAAUGACGGUACUUUAGGAGGAAGCUCCGGCUAACUACGUG